UAUUGGAGGUUAGCUUUUGUUUGGCCUAACGUGUAGAUUUUCCAUCGGGGCAUUUGUCGUCAGAGCAAAUGUCAUGAAACCAUUUUAAAAACCCUGGGUCAAGACAGCUUUAGUUUAGAUCUAACACUUGUAUGAUACAAUAACAUUGAAAUUUUGCAGAAUGGUAGGUUUAACAAAAAUGAAAUUUAAAUCUACUUUUGAUGUAGAUCUAGAUCUACUUACAUUUAGUUCCAGAUCUAUGUACGUCAGAGUCUAUGAUUAGAUCUAGAUAUAUACACUAUAGUCCAAGUGUUAUGUGUUUUUAUUUUUUUUUUACAAUAGCUUGUAUUGCUGACAUUUCGGUCUGUGUGUAUUGUUCUAUUCAACAGACAUAGAACAUGAUGCUGCUUCACAUCCUCUUUUAGAGACUCGAGGAUUACAAGACCGAAUUAAGCUGCAGGACCCUCCUGAUUCAAAAAGACAUGGAACAUGACUCUGCUUCACAUCCUCUGUUUUAGAGACUAAAGAAAUACAAGACCAAAUUAAGGGUUUGCUUUUUAAUUCCAAUAACAAUUUUCUGGAGGAAGAAUUAGGGAAUAAUGCAUUGACAAUAUGCCAAACAUCCUAUAUCAAACUGAAUUACUGCGUGUAUUUACAAUAGAGUGUUGUAACCGCCCCCCCCCCCACACUACUGACCAAACAAAACCCAUAAACAAUCUAAGAGGGAUAGGGUUAUUUCAGGGGUAAUUAUACUUGCUGAUUGUAGCAGUAGUUUUUACAAUUAUGGAUGUAGAUAAUGAUAAUGUUUAUAAUAAUAAUACUUAGAAUAAUAAAUUUAUUACAAUGACAUAACAGGAAUAAUAAAUAAAAAUGCAGCAAUACAAUAUGUACAUGAAAUUGUGUAACAAUUUUGGCAAUGAAGAAUUUUUAACAAAAAUAAUGAUCAAUUAAUUCGGGGGGGGCAUGUGACAUUGCAUCUGUGUUUGUGAGGACAGUAGUCUCUUUCACACCAUUUCAUCUUAAGCAGAUGGGAACGAGCUCUGAUCAAAAUUUGAUCUUUAAACUCAAGAGGAAAAUAAUUGUUACCUGAUUUAUGUAUUUGGAAUAAAAUGAAUUGAAAUAAUAA